UACUGUACCCCACAAUACUCACAAACACCUUGUAGCUAGUACUCUUGCGGUCCUCUAUCGGGUGGGAACUGUCGGUCUCCAUGGCAUUUCCUUGGAGACACUGACGUCAAUGGCCUGGAAUAUUCCCAGAUCCAGUUCCAGUAGCUCAGUUCCUUUGAAGUUUGAAGGAGAAGCAAAGUGUCUUGCUGGAAGAGAACUAUCGCAACCUUUCCAGCGGAUCAGCGUGAACAUUUUCCAGUCAUGGAAGGACAGAGAUAGAGCUAGAAAUGGAUCAUCGGAAACAGUGCAGGCUGCAUGAGUCUAUUGUACAGACAAGUCAUGCUGCUCUGGGACCCAGGGAGGAUUACCAAUGACUGCAUGUUCUGUUUGCAGGUAUUACAAGCCCCGCCCCCUACAUCUCUCCUUAGGGGGCGGGGCUCGGAUCUCAUCGCCCACUACUAUCAUUGUAUGUUUAUUACAAGUCUCCUAUGAGGUGGUGUAUGUAUGGAGGGAGACAUGAAGAUGAGUAUGGCUGGCUACAUGUACAGUGUCUUCCAUGCAUUCUAUGGUGUGUAGGUCGAUGUCUGCUGCACACACAAAAAAGUAGCUACAAGUAUAGCCAUGCAUCCUAACUGCAUCUAUACACAACAGAUGAGCACCUAGCUAUAUAUUAUGUUGUGUGGCACGUCUUUCAUGCUCUCUGUACGUAGGUUCAUUAAUUGCUGUGAGCCACUGUAACAGCAUACACACAGAUGAGUAGCUAGCUAUGUUGUGUGGCAAGUCUCUCAUGCUCUCUGUAGGUUGAUUGUGAGGAGCCACUGUAACAGCAUACACACAGAUAAGUAGCUAGCUUAUUGUGGCAAGUCUCUCAUACUCUCUCUGUAGGUUGAUUGUGUGUGGAGGAGCCACUGUAACAGCAUACACACAGAUGAGUAGCUAGCUAUGUUGUGUGGCAAGUCUUUCAUGCUUUCCUGUGUAGGUUGAUGUGUGUGGAGGAGCCACUGGAGCUGACACAGAUAAGUAGCUAUAGUUGUGUGUGUAUAGCAUGUCUUAUGAUCCCUAUGUAGAGAUGCCAGACCGGAAGUAGUGUGUGGGUGUAUUUUCGUACGGUAAAAAACGGGACCAGAAAGUGAACAAGAAGGGCUUUCCACAAGCCCUGGAAGAGUCUAGCAAACAACAGCUGUUCCCAGGGGUAAAAAAUAGCGUAGAAUUUGAUUUUUAUAACAGUUUUUUUAUGAUUUUAGCAUUUGAUGCUUGUUUUGUGUGUGAUUUUUUCUCAAAGGUGAUCAUCAUUUUGGCAACCAAA